rnacentral:lncRNA from 1 species
UUUUUUUUUUUUUUUUUUUUUUUUUUGUCUUUUUGCCUUUUCUGGGGCCGCUGCUACGGCAUAUGGAGGUUCCUAGGCUAGGGGUCCAAUCGGAGCUGUAGCCACCGGCCACAGCAACGUGGGAUCCGAGCCUCGUCUGCAACCUACACCACAGCUCACGGCAAUGCCCCAUCCUUAACCUACUGAGCGAGGGCAGGGCAGGGAUCAAACCCGCAACCUCAUGGUUCCUAGUCGGAUUCUUUAACCACUGCGCCACGACAGGAACUCCCUCUCUCUUUUCUUAGAGCAUUUACUUUAGAAAACUUGUCAUUGCAAGUUCUUUCCUCUGACCCUUUGAAAUGUAUGUAAAUAUUUUUAAAGUUAAAUAAUCCUUUUGCCAAAUUCACAACCCUUGAAUGUCUUUCUGAGGCCCCCCCCCCCCCCCCCCGCUCCCAGUUUCUGUGGGAGGGUAGAGUUGCCUAACUUUGGCUCCCUUUCCCAAACUACCCUCCUGUGGUAAAGAUUUGAGAAGUUUAUUAUUCCUUUGGAUGAAAUCAAUUAUUAAACACCAAGGUCACUCCAAUUUUCAGGUGACUGUGUAUGACAAAUGGUGCUGUCAAGCCCUCUUACUUAAGGACUAGGUAUUGUUUAUCUUGUAAUUAUCUCUGCUUGGCUAUAAAAAAGGGUGAGAUUUCUUUCUGUGUUUGCAAUUCCUUUAGUGCAUUGCCUGUGAUUCACAUCACAUUCUGGUUGAAUUCUUUUUCAAUAAAGUGUUUUUUCUUCUUCCUAUGUGGAGAGGUUUCCUGAGUUGGGAGAUUUUUUUUUUUUUAAUAUGCCUCCCCAACGAUAUUCAAAGUCUCAGUAAUCUCCACUCGACCAGAAUUCUGUGCUCCUGGAACAAUAUGAACAUUAUAGGCAAAUGGGAAGCAAAGGAUGACAGGAGACACACAUGUCGUGCAUAUGCUCCAUUAUUCCAUAGGACUUCAGUUAGAAAACACAUCUUACAAAAGAUAUAAUUAUUAACAAUUUUAAGAUGACAGCAGCAUAACAUUAAACCAAGUGUGGGACCCUUCUAAGCAUGGCGACCUGUGUGUCUGCAGAGAUUGUAUGUAAGGAGGCCUGCUCAAUGGGCGAUUCUAAUAGGGAUCUCUGAUUAACAUCUGCUGGCUUAUAGCAAGUCCUGUCUAAACCACUGGACCUCAGCCCUCACAAAAUCCUUUAAACAAUGAAAAUGCCAACUUUCAGCAUGCUUAUUACUUUUUAAAUUAUAUUUCAUUAAUUAUACGAUUCCAACAAUUUCUAAGAAAAUGACAGAAUUCUUUCACUGAACUUUAUUAUAGCUACCUUUACUCCAGGGGAGUGGACUACUGGCUGGGUCUUGGAAACAUUUUAUUUAGAAAUAAUUUCCCCAGGAAAUAACAUCAUCCUUUUCCUGGUUCAGAGUUUAUGGAAACAGAAGUAAGUGACUCCAACCCCUGGACAACCUUAAAUCAAAAUAACUGGUAUUAGGCUCAAUUAUUUUAUUCCUUAGUAGCGAUAUGGAGCCAAUCUCAGACUUUGAUGCAAACAUUUGUAUAUAUAGUGCAAUACAGAUUAGAAGCGUAUAGGAAACCUAGGCACUGGAAACAUCAAGAUAACAACAGGGAGAAAACAAAAAAAGAAAGGUUUUUUAAAGCAAUUGUAUUAUAGAGUCACUUAUCUUAGAGCAAAAGCUCUUCUUCAACAUCUGUCAGUCCCAUGUGGGACUUAACACUUGGUAAUGUUAAAAUAGCUAUUCUCUUCUCCACUGACCAAGGUGUGGAAUUUUAAAACCCAUUUCCAAAGAUUUUUAUAUUUCAUCUUGAGAAAAUUUGGUUGCUUAAAUAAUUUAAUCUCCCAUUUCUCUGUGGUCUUCUGUACAUAAAAGUUUAAUCAUAUUUGUUGUAGUUAAAUUUUACCUGUUUUUCAAAAUCUAGUUGUACCAAAAGAAAUAAAAUAACCUUAUCAAAUAACCAUUAUAAUUAUACUCUUUGAGUCAAAAUAUCCAAGUGAGGUCAUUAAAUUUAAGGAGAAAACUGAGUUAUUAUUGAAUUAGUUCCCAGUAGUCUACACUUAAUAUAAAGUCCCAAAUAAUAACAAUGAGUGAAAAGUGACAAAAUGAAUGAUUUCCCUGUUGCUGAUAGACUUGAUGUGUUUUCCUAUCAGUUGUCACUUUCUGCAUCUUAUACACAUUUCUUAGUUCUCCUUUUACUUAGUCUCUACUUCUUUUAUAAAUGUGUUCUAUUGCAUUGUCUAAAAAUUACCUCUUGCUAUUUAGUCUCUUUUGUCUAAGAAAACUAGUUUUUCUAAAGAGGAUAAAAGUCCCAUCUUCAUCAGGUCUUUAGCGGUCGGAAGGCUAUUCUAACUCAUUGAGGCUGCUUCCAGCUACAGCGUUUCAAUUCUCUUAUUUAGUGGUCUCAUUUCAUUUGAACAUAAAGAUGGCACAGUUUUGGUCUCAUCUGACAUUUGGGACACUGCAUCCUGGCAGCCCUGAUGCUCGCCUUCCCAGUUUAGCUGUAGAGAUUCUAAGACCUCCUGCAAGAUUUUCAGCUUUAUAUUUAGUAUCAGAAAGUACAUAUUUAAGUGAUGGACUUCAUAAAUUCAAGGGAAGACAGCCCAUGCAGAACAUAAUACUUGGAGUCCUGCUCAAGUUGUCUUUUCUUCCCUAAAUUCUGGUACAUAUAUAGACCUAAUCUAAAAGUGUUAACACUUUUCACAGAGUAACAGUCAGGCCAGUAUUCCUCCACCUAAUUUUCAGCUAUAAGUAAAAAAUGCAAUUGCAAGAAAAUAAAAUGUCACAGUAUGAAUACAAGCUAUUACCUUUCAGUAUUUUUUCUCUGGUACUUGUAUAGUGCCUGGCACAUAAUAGGCACUCAAAAAAAUAAAUUUUUGAAUCCAUGAAUUGUAGAACCUCAAUUUUCUUCUCUAAUCUUUUCCACAGUAUUUACCACUAGUGGGUUUUUUUUAAUUUUAUUUAUUUUUUUCAGACUGUGUACUUGUGUUUUCUUGCUCUUUGAUGAACACUGUCAUUCCCAAGAUGCCACUAUUCUUCUUAGCAGUUCGGCUCCCACUGAUUCUUCAAUUUUUAAAAUUAUUAUCUGCUUUUUCAGGAGGACCAGCAACCCCCUGAACACCAUUUAGUUCUUAUUUAUCAGUUUGGUAGUUGCUUAAAGGUUUCAUACAAAGUAAAGUCUUGGCAAUGUGGUUUUAAUCUUCUUGAAAGCAGGGGAAAUGUGUUGUUGUACUUAUAGGCCAUAUCAAAGUAUUAGGCAAUUAUAAGUGGUCACUGUAUUCUUAAUGUGUGAUUGACUAAGUCAAGUGAAUCAUCUGUUAGCAGUCAUUCAUUCAUUCCCCAAAUACUCAGUGGGCCAGACUGUGACACCAUGGUAGGUUUGAGUAGACACUUUUUUCAAAAUAUUUCUCCUUUGCCAUGACCAUCCUUGUCAUCUCUGUCUCAUGAUAUGGUGAAAAAUGAGAAUUAUGUGAGGAAGCAGAAGCCUUGAAUCUUGCCUUGGCUCUUCCUUCUUGACUCAGGACUUUGGGUUGAUAGUUAAUACGGUAUCUGCAUCUACUCCCCAGAAUUUAUACGUGCCCAAGGCACUUUGCACACCUGAUCACAAGCUAGAGGUGAGCGAAAAAGAGAGAGAGAGGGAGGGAGGAGGAGAGAGAGAGGUAAGAAAGAGAAAGGGCGGGAGAACUCUGAAGGUGGAAGCAAGAAAUGCGGUUGAUUUCUAGAAGCUAAAAAAUGCAAGGAAACAGAUUCUUCCUUAGAACCCCCAGAAGGAAUGCAGGCCCGCUGAUAUCUUGAUUUUAGCUCAGUAAGAGCCGUUUUGGACUUCUGACCUCCAGAACUGUAAGAUAGUACAUUUCUGUGGUUUGCAGUUUGUGAUAAUUUUACACUAUUGUGGUUGUUAGUUCAAGCUUUGCUGUUCAAAAAUCUGGCUUUGCAUCAGUUCUUCCACCUGUAAAUGAGAAUAAUGAAAGCACAUUCCUCCUAGAUGGUUCUUUAGUUAUGCCUGAGUUUUAAUAAACACUUAUUUGCACCAAGUAUUCUGUUUUCAAUUGAUUUUAAAUAUCAAAUGUAGCUGCCUUAUAUGUAUUUUUGAGCCAUUUAAUUAGCCAUUCCUGGAAGAAUUGGCUACAUUUUACCAAAGCAACCUACUCUCAGAGUACUUAGUGUAUGUAGUUUAGUGUAUGAAUCAUUUUUUAAACAAAAAUAUUUAUUACUUUUUGUUUAAUAUUACAAAAUAUUUUAUCAGGGUUAAAAUAUGUAAAUUCUUUGAUUUGAAUAUUAAUAAUCAUAGUAAUAGAAAUUUUACCUCCUAUUCAGUCUGGAAAAAUAAUUUUUUUAAAAAAAAUCAUAGUCUGUAAAGGACAGGUAAAGUCAAAUCAAAAGGAUGAUUCAAGCAACUGUGGGAAAACUUUGAUGUCAAUGGAAAUGGUUCAGAAUAAUUCAGAUAGAUUGUCUACACAGCUUGAAUUUGCCAAAAGAAGGCCACGUUGCCACUAUAUUCCGCUGUGCAGCAAAAUCACCUUGAAGUUUCCUGCAGGAAUCAGCAGUCUCGAAUAGAAUAUAGCCAUGAGGUAGCCAGUCAAUUCCCUGGCUGCUGACAUAUUCAUUUUAUUUAUUCUUGUGUAUUCAUUGAAUAAUGAUCCAUCUGAGCUUCCCCAUCUAUUCAUACAAAAUGGAGAGAGUUUAAAAGAGAGCAAAAUAGAGACACAAUAUGGUAAAAUAUCAGUCCAUAUAUGUCAUUAUAAUGCUACUUAAAGCAAAGCUUCUAUCUUAAGACAAAAUAAUUCUUUACAUCAAAUUUUUUAUUAAAUUUUGAAUGGAACACAUUAUGCC